AGCUAGAGAGAUAAAGAUAAAUAAAUAAAUAAACAAACAAAGAUAAAAUUAUUCUUAAUUUUUAAAAUGUUAUUUUCUUUGAAAAAAGUUAAUGUCUUUUUUAUGUAUGACUCUUUAUCCAACUCAACGAGGCCUGCAUUUUUGUCUCCCAUGGUAACAAUACGAUUUUCUAUUUUAAUAUUAUGUUUCAAAUUUUUAAUGCGAAGAAUUAAUUUAGUAUGGAAAGAUUUUAUGUUGACGUUCUUAUUCCCACUCGUUUUCCCUCACUCUUUCACCUUUAUCAUCUGGCGAACGUUCCUUAUGACCUUCAGUCCAAUUUCAUCCCUCAUCAUGUUGACUCAAGUUAUUUAAUUUUAAAGGAAAUUUUAACGUGUUAAUUGUUUGGUAAUUUGUUUUGUCGUUAAUUUUUAACAUUUAUUUUUAAACACUUUGAAAAACGAGAUUUACGAUGAAUAGAAAAACGCCAUUUUAAUUUUUUGGAUUUUUCAAUUUACUCUUCAAGUUUUUUUACAUUUGAAUUUUUCGUAAACGGAAUCUUUUUGAAGAAAUACUCUGAAACAAUACUCUCUUCACUCUCGAUGCUCCUACACCGACGCAGCAAAAAACCAUACAACUUACCUGGAAAAAUCCACCAAAUCGAUAAUAGAGGCAUCUUCAAUAGUCCCCGAGAUCAAGAAAACCUUA